CACGUAGUUAGCCGGCGCUUUCUCUGCACCUACCGUCACUUUCGCUUCUUCGAUGCUAACAGAGGUUUACAACCCGAAGGCCGUCAUCCCUCACGCGGCGUCGCUGCAUCCGGCUUGCGCCCAUUGUGCAAUAUUCCCCACUGCUGCCUCCCGUAGGAGUCUGGGCCGUGUCUCAGUCCCAGUGUGGCCGGUCACCCUCUCAGGCCGGCUACCCGUCGUCGCCUUGGUAAGCCAUUACCUCACCAACAAGCUGAUAGGCCGUGAGCCCAUCUAAAACCACUCCAUAACGCUUUCCACCAACACCCCAUGCGGAGAUUGGUCGUAUCCGGUAUUAGACCCAGUUUCCCAGGCUUAUCCCAGGGUCAAAGGUAGGUCACUCACGUAUUACUCACCCGUUCGCCACUAAUCCACCUAGCAAGCUAGGCUUCAUCGUUCGACUUGCAUGUGUUAAGCACGCCGCCAGCGUCGUCCUGAGCCACGAAUCAAACUACUA
rnacentral:rRNA from 1 species